UACGACCGCAAAAAUUUUGCGGUCGUAUAUUGGUAUGACGUUGGCGUCGUCGUCGUCGUCGUCCGAAGACACAUUAGUUUUCGCACUAUAACUUUAGUUUAAGUGAAUGGAUCUCUAUGAAAUUUUACCAUAAGGUUCAAUACCACAAAAGGAAGGUUGGGAUUGAUUUUGGGGGUUAUGGUACCAACAGUUAAGGAAUUAGGGGCCAAAAAUAAGCAUUUUUGUAACUUCCAGACAAUAACUUGUGUGUAAGUGUAUGGAUCUCUCUGACAUUGUACCACAAGGUUCCAUAUCACAAAGGGAAGGCUGGAAUUGAUUUUAGGGGUAAUUGCCUCAAAAUUUUAGGAAUUAGGGGCCAAAAAAGGGGCAAAAAACAAGCAUUUUUCUAGUUUCAUGACAAAUAACUUGUGUGUAAGUGUUUGGAUAUUUCUGAAAUUGUACUACAAGGUUCCAUAUCACAAAGGGAAAGCUGGAAUUGAGUUUGGGGGUAAUUGCCCGAAACGUUUAGGAAUUGGGGGCCAAAAAGGGGCCAAAAAUAAGCAUUUUUCUAGUUUCCAGACAAUAACUUGUGUUCUAGUGUAUGGAUCUCUCUGAAAUUGUACUGCAAGGUUCCAUACCACAAAGGGAAGGCUGGGAUUGAUGAUGGGGGUAAUUGCCUCAAUAUUUUAGGAAUUAGGGGCCAAAAAGGGGCAAAAAACAAGCAUUUUUCUAGUUUCAGGUCAAUAACUUGUGUGUAAGUGUAUGGAUCUUUCUGAAAUUGUACUACAAGGUUCCAUAUCACAAAGGAAAAGCUAGGUUUGAGUUUGGGGGUAAUUGCCAUAAACGUUUAGGAAUUUGGGGCCAAAAAGGGGCCAAAAAACACAUUUUUCUAGUUUCCAGACAAUAACGUGUUCAAGUGUAUGGAUCUCUCUGAAAUUGUACUGCAAGGUACCAUACCACAAAGGGAAGGCUGGGAUUGAUUUUGGGGGUAAUUGCCCCAAAAGUGUAGGAAUUAGGGGCCAAAAAGGGAAAAAAAACAAGCAUUUUUCUAGUUUCAGGACAAUAACUUGUGUGUUAGUGUAUGGAUCUUUCUGAAAUUGUACAACAAGAUUCCAUAUCACAAAGGGAAAGCUGGGUUUGAGUUUGGGGGUAAUCGCCCUAAACGUUUAGGAAUUUGGGGCCAAA